CCGCCUAUGUCUUACAUGGCCGGUCCCAAGCCCGGAUAAAGGAGGAGGGGGAGGGCGUCAGGUAGUCGACAGCCGGCACUCCAUGAUCACGUCGAAUCCUUAUGAAUUCUUUCUUCCAGAUGUUUAGCACUGGUGCAACACUUUUCUUGUUGAUCCAGAAACUCCAGAAUUAAACUCAUAAAAAUCAGUGUUUUCAGGCUUGCCACACCCUGUCACAACACUCCCUCCCUCUAAUCAGGCAAGAGAAACUGAGGUUUUCAAAACUGGAAAAAGGUCAUAAUUGAAGAGUUGGGCUACUUAGACCCGGAUUUAUAUAAGGAUCAUACAUUUUUAUGCAAGACAUCAAUUAAGCAGUACAACACAACAUAUGAAUGGUGGUAUGCUGCUUGCCCCACAUGUGCCAAGCAAAUGUAUAAGGACCCAACGACUGGUUAACUGAUGUGCCAAAAACAUACAAAUCAAAUGCCGACUCCUUGGUACAAAGUGUUCUUGGUCAUUGAGGACGAUACAAAUGAAAUCAAUGCUCUCAUUAUUGGCAAAUCAGGUGAAAAGGUCUUUGGCAUGCCAUGCAAAGAUUUGGUUUUCAAUCAAAGAUCAACAGAUCACAAGCAAUUGUCAAGUGAGUUUCUUAGACUUAUAGGCCAAAGGAAAAAUUUUCACCUUCGGUUUAGAAACCAACGAAAUUUGUUGAAUUCAAAUGAUUUCCUUGUCUACAAUAUUUCUGAGGACACAAUGAUCCAACCAAUAACACCACAGUCUAUUAUCAAAGAAAUUGUAGUGUCUUCCAUUCCAUGACAGUUUCAUCAUCUACUACACCAACUGAAAAAAUUGGAGAAACGCACAAGAGAAAAAGAGAUUCAACCAGGAGAGCCCUUUUUACAGAAGCUGAAAACAGGUUCACAGCAUUUUUUUCUAAUUCUUAUUUUCAAUCUGACCGAAAUCUAUUUACCCAAUCUCUUUAAUAUGUUUGGCAUGGUGAGACAGAGGAAAUCUCUGAAGUAGAUGUGCAGGAUCUUGAUCGGGUUCCAAUCAAAUUGUUAAUAAAACAUCUUCUCCAACUAUCAUGAAAAAAAAGACCCUGCUAUACCCAAAAAAAAAAAAAAAAAAAAACUAGGUAACUUUGCUUCAUUCCCUUUUUUUACGUGAUGUAACCAUAUUUAUACACAUGCUUGAUUAAAGCUCAGUUAGCAUUGACAUCUUUUUUUUUCUCCCUGCACAUUCUUUUAUUUGCAGUGAAUCCCAGAAGGAACAAACUUUUGUUGUUGUAGAAAACACUCUGAUCAUCUUUUGUUAAAACAACAGUGCUUCUCCAUAUUUUUUGCAUGUAAAUAGGCCACCAUAACAUCAAUACCCCUAUUUUUUGUGUACAUGAACAAUCUCCAUAUUUUUUGCAUGUAAAUAGGCCACCAUAACAUCAAUACCCCUAUUUUUUGUGUACAUGAACAAUCCGAUGUUUUGAAAUCUUUCAUCUACUAAUGCUGAUCAAGAACCAACAUAGCUACCAGGGGGAAAUAUCAGACUAAUCAUUUUUCUACAUGUAUGCCAAAACCUUUCCUGAUGUUUUUUGUCUAGAUUGUAUAACUAUAGACAGUGGCCUGUAAAAAUACUGACUACAUUUUAUAUGCAGUCUUUAUUAUCUUUAUUUUAAUAAUGUUAGUUAGCAUUGCUAUACAUUAGGAUUUUUAGAACAUCUUAUUGGAAAAGUAAAUAUUUAGAAGAAAAGGAAUGUAAAUAUUUUGUAAUUACUAAGUUUUUGUUUAGGAAAGGUUUUAUAUCCUUUAUUUGUUUCCUUUUGUAACAAGGAUUGUAUGUACCUUAUUAUUCAGAAUUAUGGAAUACAAAAAACUAUCCCGUAAAAUUCUAUUUGGUGCCAGAGCCAACUGUAACGCUAAUCCCACCACUGUGCUGCUUGUGUCGUGAGAAGGAAAUUUGCUUGGUUUUUUUCUGCUGCAUCUUUGCCGUAGAAAAGCUAAUUGCAGUAUAAGGGGCCGUGUACUGCUACGGUGUGUGUGUGUGUGUUCUUUGUGGUGUACCAUGACGUGAUCAAUGGCAGGAGAUGAGGGUGCGUCAGGGCUGAAGUUGGAGGGUGGGGCAUAUGACUCUACCCACGGCUCAGCUGUGAAUCCGGUUGUUAUUCAGAGUGAUGCUUCGGUUGUACCAAGUACUGUAAAGCUGAAUGGGACAAACUAUCCUCUGUGGUCCAAGGUAUUAGAGAUGCAUAUCGCUGGACGUGGUAAGAAAUGGUUCGCUACAGGGAACGUCAAGGAGCCUAAAGAGAAUAGUGCUGAGUAUGAAGCUUGGGAGACGGGGAACGCAAUUGUGAAAGGGUGGUUGAUUAACUCCAUGGAUCCUACCACCAUGGGUUUUUUCAUUCAUCUUUUAUACAGCUAAAGAAGUAUGGGACAAGGUUGCUCAAACGUAUUAUGAUGGGUCUGAUAUUUCUCAGAUUUAUGAGUUGAAGGUGAAGUCAUUUCGACUUUACCAGGAAGGGAGACCUAUUGGGGUAUACUAUGCCGAUCUCAAAACAGUUUGGCAAGAGUUGGAUCAAAUGAGAUUAAUCAAGAUGGAGUGUGCUGCUGACUUGAAGACACUCUGAGAAGAAAUUCAACUGGAUCGUGUGUAUGCCUUCCUAGUAGGGCUUGAUGAUAUUUUUGACAAAGUGCGUAGUGAUAUUUUGAGAACUCAACCUUUACCAUAUGUGGAUGAGGUGUUCUCCAUUGUUAGGCGAGAAGCACAACACCAUGCAACUAUGAUGGGAAGUAGUAAUGUGGGGAA